AUUGAACGCUGGCGGCAUGCCUUACACAUGCAAGUCGAACGGCAGCACGGGGGCAACCCUGGUGGCGAGUGGCGAACGGGUGAGUAAUGCAUCGGAAUGUACCCAGUAGUGGGGGAUAACUAGUCGAAAGACUGGCUAAUACCGCAUACGCACUAUGGUGGAAAGCGGGGGAUCGCAAGACCUCGCGCUAUUGGAGCAGCCGAUGUCCGAUUAGGUAGCUGGUGGGGUAAAGGCCUACCAAGCCUGCGAUCGGUAACUGGUCUGAGAGGACGACCAGUCACACUGGGACUGAGACACGGCCCAGACUCCUACGGGAGGCAGCAGUGGGGAAUUUUGGACAAUGGGCGCAAGCCUGAUCCAGCAAUGCCGCGUGUGUGAAGAAGGCCUUCGGGUUGUAAAGCACUUUGUCAGGAACGAAACAAGUGUCCGUUAAUACCGGGCGCGAAUGACGGUACCUGAAGAAUAAGCACCGGCUAACUACGUGCCAGCAGCCGCGGUAAUC
rnacentral:rRNA from 1 species